GAUGCCGAAAAGAGGUAAAUAAUUGCAGAGAUACUAGAUGGGUGAUUUUGCCAGAAUAAUACAAGGUCUUCCGCGAUGGCGAGAGCAAAUAAAAAAUCUUUUCAAUAUAAGACGGGAUAUUUGGUGUGGGCCAAAUUAAAGGGUUAAGAAAGUGGUCGGCAAAAGUGGUGGCUAAGGUAAAUACCUAAGCAUUACACCAUCAUGUUCAUUGGAUUGUAUGAAAGGCGAUCUGUCGAAAGAAAGAAUUUAACUUUAUGGCGAGACCAGCAUCAGUUUCCGAGGUCAAGGCUAAAAUUAAUAGGGAGAUGUAUGAGCAAGCAUAGGGGAAUUUGAGGCGGAAGCUGAUGCCCGGCCAGAAUAGAAGAAGGCGGGGAGGAAAGAACGAAUACAGGAGGAACGAGGGGAGGCCAAGAAUUCCCAACAUGAGGAAGAGGAAGAAAGAGAGGCCACGGCAUUCCCAACACGAGGAAGAGACUCAAUUUGACGAGGGUCCCUCGACCUCAAAUUUCAGGGGAAAGGCCACGGUAGGAGCCGCAUUUUAUUAAAGUUUCUUGUUCAGUCGUUUACAUACUCUGAAUUUUUUAAAACCUGCGGCGAGAUUGUGAUUUGACAUCACCUUUUCAAAAUUGGGGGAUUUUAAGGAGACUCCAUACAAUUUCGCACU